AUUUAAGCAAGUAUUAUUUACAGAGAAUAUACUUUUGCUUCAAAAUUUUGCAAGGUUUCCACCAUUAAAACAUUUUCCAAAACACUUACAAAAUUUUCCAUUGCACUUUAGGACUUUGACCUCUGUGCAAGGAAUGGAGCACCCUUCCCAUAAAAUUAGGGAACUCAACAUUCCAGUUUCUCCAGCAGGCCACAUUUAGACAA
rnacentral:misc_RNA from 1 species